AUUGAACGCUGGCGGCAGGCCUAACACAUGCAAGUCGAACGGUAACAGGAAGCAGCUUGCUGCUUCGCUGACGAGUGGCGGACGGGUGAGUAAUGUCUGGGAAACUGCCUGAUGGAGGGGGAUAACUACUGGAAACGGUAGCUAAUACCGCAUAACGUCGCAAGACCAAAGAGGGGGACCUUAGGGCCUCUUGCCAUCGGAUGUGCCCAGAUGGGAUUAGCUAGUAGGUGGGGUAACGGCUCACCUAGGCGACGAUCCCUAGCUGGUCUGAGAGGAUGACCAGCCACACUGGAACUGAGACACGGUCCAGACUCCCACGGGAGGCAGCAGUGGGGAAUAUUGCACAAUGGGCGCAAGCCUGAUGCAGCCAUGCCGCGUGUAUGAAGAAGGCCUUCGGGUUGUAAAGUACUUUCAGCGGGGAGGAAGGGAGUAAAGUUAAUACCUUGGCUCAUUGACGUUACCCGCAGAAGAAGCACCGGCUAACUCCGUG
rnacentral:rRNA from 1 species